UAUAUUUUCAAUAUGUUAAAGAAGAUAUAUUGUUAAAAUUAAUUUCACCUGUUUCUUGUACAUUUUUAAUGUGUUACCAGAAACUUUAAAAUUACACACCUGACUCAAAUCUGUGGGAGCCACAGUGCCCUAGAGGGUCUUGCACUAGCAAUUGAAUGCUGUACCUCAUUGGCUCGAAUCUGUCACAUGACCACACAUGUGAGGCCAGAAAAUGCAAUCCCACAAUGCAGCUGGAAGACCACUAACUGGAAAUCAAUGGUGAAAAGUCCUAAGAAAUGCCAUAGAAAGAGAAAGAGGCAGGGGGCCGGCAGGGGCCAGAACAAAUUUUGGAAAGUAUAUUUAAGAUCAUCUGGGUUAAAUGUGUGUUACUUGACACCCAAAAAUUUACUUGGAAAGCCCUUGAGAAUACCUCCAGGAUCUGAGCCAUCAACCUCUAAAGCAACCAUUAAUAAAAUGGAGUCAUGAGACUGCCCUAUAACAGGUUGUGGAGAAAGAAAUGUCUCCCAUGUCACAAUAGUGUGGACACAGAAGAAGAUUAGCAACAAUUUGGGCAAAAUACGUACACACACACACACACACACACACACACACACAAAGACAGACAUUUGAAAACUUUGGUUUGCUGUUGAGCUGCUUCUUAUCUGGGCUACUCUGUGUGGAACACUCCAUGGUGAGAAGCAACAGGGAUUUAUUGACUGAUCAGUCAACGAGUAUUGUUCUCCUGAGAAAAGCUGAGAGGUCGGCAAAUGUACGCAAAUGUUCAGGUAUGUCCACAAGUAUUGAAAACCCUGAAAUACACAUUCCAAAAACUACACCAUUAUUGUCAUUGGAUCCUGGAAUCCCAUGUGAUUUUAAAUUAUUUUUCCUUAUCUUUAUUUUCAGAUCAUCUAUAAGAUAUGAAUGAUGUUCAGAAUUACUUGUCAUGCCCUUUGCUUGGGGCUGGAAACAAGAUGCAGUCACAUAGAUUUCAAUGGAGUGUGUACUCUAGAGGCAGACUGCCUGGGAUCAUAAUGCUUGCAGAAUAACCAUUGACAGCUUCCAUAAUUUAUCUCUUCCCAGUAUGCAACUAAGACAUGCCUGAGUGAAGUUUCCUAGGAGCCAAAUAAUUAAUCCAACAUUUAUCUGAAAUGCUGAACUAACUUGCACAAUUCUUCAAAUGACUAUCACACCUUUGAUGGGGAUAUACAAAUUGUUUCAACCUGAGGCUUGAAAAGAUGUGUCAUAAAGCAUUCUGAUUAAUCAAGAA